GAUGAACGCUGGCGGCGUGCUUAACACAUGCAAGUCGAACGAAGCACUUUAUUUGAUUUCCUUCGGGACUGAUUAUUUUGUGACUGAGUGGCGGACGGGUGAGUAACGCGUGGGUAACCUGCCUUGUACAGGGGGAUAACAGUUGGAAACGGCUGCUAAUACCGCAUAAGCGCACAGCAUCGCAUGAUGCAGUGUGAAAAACUCCGGUGGUAUAAGAUGGACCCGCGUUGGAUUAGCUAGUUGGUGAGGUAACGGCCCACCAAGGCGACGAUCCAUAGCCGACGUGAGAGGGUGCCCGGCCACUUUGGAGCUGGUACACGGCCCACACUCCUACGGAAGGCAGCAGUGGGGAAUAUUGCACAAUGAGCGAAAGCCUGACGCAGCGACGCCGCGUGAGCGAAGAAGUAUUUCAGUAUGUAAAGCUCUAUCAGCAGGGAAGAUCAUGACGGUACCUGACGAAGAAGCACCGGCUAAAUACGUG
rnacentral:rRNA from 1 species